rnacentral:rRNA from 1 species
AUCCUACGGGAGGCAGCAGUGGGGAAUAUUGCACAAUGGGCGCAAGCCUGAUGCAGCCAUGCCGCGUGUAUGAAGAAGGCCUUCGGGUUGUAAAGUACUUUCAGCGGGGAGGAAGGCGAUAAGGUUAAUAACCUUGUUGAUUGACGUUACCCGCAGAAGAAGCACCGGCUAACUCCGUGCCAGCAGCCGCGGUAAUACGGAGGGUGCAAGCGUUAAUCGGAAUUACUGGGCGUAAAGCGCACGCAGGCGGUCUGUCAAGUCGGAUGUGAAAUCCCCGGGCUCAACCUGGGAACUGCAUUCGAAACUGGCAGGCUAGAGUCUUGUAGAGGGGGGUAGAAUUCCAGGUGUAGCGGUGAAAUGCGUAGAGAUCUGGAGGAAUACCGGUGGCGAAGGCGGCCCCCUGGACAAAGACUGACGCUCAGGUGGGAAAGCGUGGGGAGCAAACAGGAUUAGAUACCCCUGUAGUCCCAUGAU